UACGUAGGGUGCGAGCGUUAAUCGGAAUUACUGGGCGUAAAGCGUGCGCAGGCGGUUUGUUAAGUCAGAUGUGAAAGCCCCGGGCUUAACCUGGGAACGGCAUUUGAAACUGGCAGGCUGGAGUACGGCAGAGGGGGGUGGAAUUCCACGUGUAGCAGUGAAAUGCGUAGAUAUGCGGAGGAACACCGAUGGCGAAGGCAAUCCCCUGGACCUGUACUGACGCUCAUGCACGAAAGCGUGGGGAGCAAACAGG
rnacentral:rRNA from 1 species